rnacentral:tRNA from 1 species
GCAGUGGUGGUUCAGUGGUAAAAUUUCUCACCUUCCAUGCAGGAGACCUUGGUUCGAUUCCCAGUCAAUGCA